AUGCGAUAAGUAAUGUGAAUUGCAGAAUUCAGUGAAUCAUCGAAUCUUUGAACGCACAUUGCGCCCGCCAGUAUUCUGGCGGGCAUGCCUGUUCGAGCGUCAUUUCAACCCUCAAGCCCUCGGGUUUGGUGUUGGGGAUCGGCGAGCCUCUCUGGCAAGCCGGCCCCGAAAUCUAGUGGCGGUCUCACUGCAGCCUCCAUUGCGUAGUAGCUAACACCUCGCAACUGGAACGCGGUGCGGCCAAGCCGUUAAACCCCCAACUUCUGAAUGUUGACCUCGGAUCAGGUAGGAAUACCCGCUGAACUUAA
rnacentral:misc_RNA from 1 species